UUAAACCGAUAAACAAUAACAAUACCAGCGAUACAACUUCAACAACCAGCAAUAACAACGCAGCAACUCCAGCGUACAAACACUCCUUAGAAACACAACGUACAACACCCGCGACAAUAGUAAAAUCUGAUAACCAGCUAUGAUAACUCAACUCGUACAAGCCAACAUUCGACAACAACAAACAAUGUUCCGCAACUUCAAACCGUGAACCCGACCCGCCCAGCUCAGCACAACAAUGUAGCACUCAAUCUGUUGGAAAUUUCCAAUUCGAAUCUGUACGAAUUGUAAGAUGUUUAGCCACCUCAAAUCUUAUCUCCAAUUUGAAAUCUCCAAAACACCCCCGAAUUUCCAAUCCCACAUCGGUAGAUGCUAGAAAUUUCAUUCCUAUUCUUUUUUAUAAAUAACUACUGUUUUGGUUGGAAGAAGAGCUAUGGAAUUAGCUUAGAACCCCAAUUGAAAGGGAUUUUGCUAAAAUUAAAAAAAUUCUCAGGCUAAAUCCUUGUAAGAUCGUUCGGCUUAGGAUUUCGGCUAGAGAAUUUAAUUUCGAGUUUCGAUGGUGCAAAGAGAAUCCGACAAUUCGUAGUCCCAGUGAGCUACUCCGAAAAAGAGAUUCCUAAUACCUUAUCUUUUCCUUUGGAGUAUGUGACAUCGACUCACAUCCGCGUGGACUCCUUUUCCCGCAUUUUCUCGGGACCAAGUCCCUCCCCUAUCGAGUCAAGCUUUCUCAAAGUUUAAAAUGGACCAAAUACAUCAAGAAACAAGGAUGUAUACAAAUAAUACAACGAAGAUACAUUAUACACAGGUGGUGGAAGCUGAUUUACAGGUUCAAAGAAGUAAGAAAUGGAAGAAGGAAGCUGGUAUACAAAGCUGCAAGAUGAUAUACAGUGUGUAUACAGCCAAAAUGUGAAAAAAGAUGAACUGAUAUACAGCUGGUAUACAGUUGAAAAGGGGCUAAAAAGAGUCCGUAAUUCAAAGUCCAAAGGCUGGGCAGAAUUUGAAAAUGGGCUAAAAAGGGCCCAAAUCUCAUCUUUUUCCUUCAUUUGCUUGUAUUUACUUGAUUAUUUGCUUAUAAUUUAAUUUAAUAUAGAUAAAUCUUCAGGGAGUAA